rnacentral:rRNA from 1 species
UACGUAGGGUGCGAGCGUUGUCCGGAAUUAUUGGGCGUAAAGAGCUCGUAGGCGGUUUGUUGCGUCGGCUGUGAAGACCUGCGGCUUAACUGUGGGCUUGCAGUCGAUACGGGCAGACUUGAGUUCGGCAGGGGAGACUGGAAUUCCUGGUGUAGCGGUGAAAUGCGCAGAUAUCAGGAGGAACACCGGUGGCGAAGGCGGGUCUCUGGGCCGAUACUGACGCUGAGGAGCGAAAGCGUGGGGGAGCGAACAGG